rnacentral:rRNA from 1 species
UACGUAGGUGGCAAGCGUUGUCCGGAUUUACUGGGCGUAAAGAGCGCGCAGGCGGUCGUCCAAGUCGCGUGUGAAAGCCCCCGGCUCAACUGGGGAGGGUCACGCGAUACUGGUCGACUCGAAGGCAGGAGAGGGUAGUGGAAUUCCCGGUGUAGUGGUGAAAUGCGUAGAUAUCGGGAGGAACACCAGUGGCGAAGGCGACUGCCUGGCCUGUUCUUGACGCUGAGGCGCGAAAGCUAGGGGAGCAAACGGG